UACGAAGGGGGCUAGCGUUGCUCGGAAUCACUGGGCGUAAAGCGCACGUAGGCGGAUCUUUAAGUCGGGGGUGAAAGCCCAGGGCUCAACCCUGGAAUUGCCUUCGAUACUGAAGAUUUCGAGACCGGAAGAGGUAAGUGGAACUGCGAGUGUAGAGGUGAAAUUCGUAGAUAUUCGCAAGAACACCAGUGGCGAAGGCGGCUUACUGGUCCGGUUCUGACGCUGAGGCGCGAAAGCGUGGGGAGCAAACAGG
rnacentral:rRNA from 1 species